rnacentral:lncRNA from 1 species
GUCCGAUAGUGUCUGGACGUAUCUUAUUUUAGCGUACGACUCUUCCGUUGGUUUUCAGGUGCCGCUCUGUACUUUGACGCUGAAAAUGUUGAUUUGCUUUUUGGAAGUCAGUUUAAAUGGCGCCCCCUUUCGACAGGAAAACUUGCCACAUUUUAAGCAGCUGGCUCCUGAUUCUCGUGGAUGCCACCUGAGAGGAGCGCCGUCUUUCGAGGUAAAAUACCAGGAACUGCUUGGAUGAAUGGAAAAAAGCAGAGAUUCAUGAGCUGGAAUGGGAUGGCCUGGAAUGAAGUUGAAGACUUAGAUGGACUAGAAUUUUGUGAAUGGUAUAGUCAUCCCUGAAUAUCUGCCAGAGAUUGGUUCCAGGAGCCCCUAUGAAUACCAAAAUCUGCGGAUGCUCAAGUUCCUCAUGGAAAAUGUCAUAAUACAAUUGCUACAAUCAGCCAUUUUUAUCCACGUGUUUCACAUCUAUGGAUUUAACCAACUGCAGAUGAAUACCUGUUUAAGG